GAUUAGUGCACUUCCGGCGUGGAGCGCACUUUCAGCAGUCUGGUUGCCGAGGGUGAGCUCGCUGGCAGAGGAACUUGCGCCUUCCAACUCUUAGGUUUGUUGCGUUCGGGUCGCAGUCGACUUUAAUGGGAACCAAGCAAAGCACCCAAUGGCCCCUGCCAUCAGGUGCGUGGCAGUUAUCACAUGACGAUCGUCAGAACUCGCGAGGCGCGCAGAUUCAGCGAGUGCCAGUGUGGCUGGCUGUGAAGCGAACUUUGGGUUCGAGCUUCUGGUUCAGCUUGCAGCCUUUCUUGGGGUUCGAACCUCCUCCUGGUCCUUAAAGAAGAAUUCAGAAGGUCCUCACCAGAAGCUAACUGAAUGGCAACACCAUACCUUUGGAAUUCCCAGAAUCCAGAAUUGUAAGAAAUAA
rnacentral:lncRNA from 1 species